GUGCUUUCUUUAUACAGUUUUUAUCCCAAGACCUAGAACAAUCCUUACUCCACACAUGAACCUUAUAUGUUAGUCUUGUAUCGUAAGUUUUGCUCACUCUAAGAAAAAGUCGAAAAGUUUCCAAAAUUUGUGCUGAUUUCGUACUUUUAAGUCCCAUAUCACCUUGAAUGGCUAUAUUUGACGCAUUUGAAGCACUUCCUAAGAAUAACCGAC
rnacentral:lncRNA from 1 species